rnacentral:misc_RNA from 1 species
GCUAGCUGAAAGGGGAAGAGAGAAGGAUUAAAGACCUCGGAAGAAUAGAUUGUAAAAUCAACAGAAACGAAUUCAUGUAACUGGAUACUGGCAAAGCAUGUUCAAGAAGCACACAUAUUCUAUAUCUAUUGUGUGAAGGAAAGUAGAGCAAUUCAAUGAGAAGCCCCAGCGGUAAGUAAGUAACACGAGCCCUGUAUAAGUGAUACAGUUGUUUUCAUGUGAUAAACAUCUCAGAGCCAGUAAUUCCACUUGCAUGUUAGCGUGUUCAUAUGAUUUCGUUGUUCCCUUCAACUUUAAAUUAGUCAUGAACGAGCCAUCUCAUUUUGCUUUGAUUCUUAGUUUGGUGUCACGCUUUCAAGGCGUGUAUAGUUUUUGGUGUACUAUCAGAUUUUUCAUUUUCCUGUAAAGAUGUAAGUGUUCAAAUGUGGAGAAAUGUGAAUUUUGU